rnacentral:lncRNA from 1 species
ACGAAAUAUAGUAAAUUUCGUCGGCUAUAGUUAUUUUUUAAUUAUUUAUUACACACUUUAGCCGACGAAUAUAUUAAUUGUUUCGUCGGCUAAAGUCUGGAAAAAAACCGACGACAUGUUUUUCGUCGGCUAACUGUGGGACUAUAGCCGACGAAAAUAAAAAUUUCGUCGGCUAAAGUCAUCACAGACGAGCUUUUCCCGACGACACUAUAGCCGACGAGCCUUCGUCGGCUAAGAUCUUAGCCGACGAAUUAAAAUAACAGGCCGACGAAAUUUUUCGUCGGCUAAAGUGCUUGUCCUGGUAGUGUUCUCUCUUUCUCCCGAACUCUUCCCUGAGUUCUCUUUAUAGCCGGGACUUUCUGCCACCAGCUGCCGCCAUCCGGCUAGCCACCGGCUACCGCUCCACUCUAGUUCGGACCCCCGCCGUCUCCUCUCUCUUCCCGGCCUAGUGUUCGAGCCGGUAGCGCUGCCGGAGAGGAGAAAACCUACCAGAAACGCCGGUUGCCCCUUCCCCAGAGUUCCCUCCUCCGGCCACCAUAGCUCGUGGUUUUUAGCUCAUCUUGUAGCUCUCAUCAAGGUUAGUGAUCCCUCAAAAGGAAUUGACUUAAUUCGAUCUUGGUAAGGAGAGAUGUUUAAUUGAAGUAGUUCUAGGGAUUUAUGGAUGUUUUGGUUCGAUUACCUUAGUUAGCCUUAGAAUUAGACUAGGUGCUAGUUAUGAAAGUUGUUGUGCAUGAUGAGAGGAUUAUUCUGUUAAAAUUUGAGAGGCAAUGGUCAUCGCUGGAGUUCGGCUGCCGGCGGAGCUGCCGCUUAGAGGUUGUUUUGCAUGUUUUCAAGUUUGUUAUAAUGAGAGGAGUUUAAUGAAGUAUAGUUUGAAAUUUUUGGAGGAGUUUUGAUAAGGUUUGGGAUUUAUCAAUGAUUAAGGAUUUAGGCGGUUAUUCGAAUGGAAAUCCGGCAAUUAGUUUAGCAGGAUUUAAACUUCAAAAAAGUUAAUUUUUGGCUAUUGGUAAGUGUGGAGUAGUGUGAGCUUUAUUAGAUUAAAAGUGGAGAAGUUGGGCAUGAGAGAUGAAAUUAUAGGCUUCCUUUUAUUUCGGAAUUUUAUUAAAGCAUUAUUCUAGUCUGGAAGCUUAAUAAUUAUUUAUUGUUCAGGACGUGAGGAGGAUCAUUUGGAGGAAGCCUCGGGUCGUCGGCAAGCAUAGCCGAGCACUGUGAGUGGACCUUUGAUUUGAAUGUCAUGCAUGCAUUAAAGUUUAUUUAAUUUUCAAAGGCAUUUUGGAGAUUUAUUAUUUUCUUGGAUUAAUGAGUUCCAUUUAUUUUUCGGGAACUCUCUUGAGCAUUUUAUUUGACAUAUGGGACAUGUCAAGUAAUUUAUAUUAUUACGCAAUAUUUCUAGGUACGGUUGGGGACUGUACUAAGCUCAAUGGAUUUUAUAUUAUUUUUGGGGAAGUGAUAUUCUUGAUCAUUUAUUAUUUUACUUCACCAUAAAAUGGUUGAUUUAUAUUAAUUAUUGCUAGCUAACUUUAUUAGCGGUCCUCAUCAUAUGUGAGUCGCUAUUAUAGCCCUAUUAGCGGUGUUCUUCAUAUAUGAGUAGAGCGUGUAGCGUGGGACGCUAUUAUAGCCUGAGAGGCAACCGAUCGGUAUAUAUAUUAAUAUGUUAGCUAGCCAUUAUUAGCGACUACUCACCAUAGGUGAGUAGAGCGUUUAGCGUGGGACGCUAUUAUAGCUUGGGAGGCUCCGACCCUAGCCUGGGAGGCUCAUUGUUAUGGUGAAACCUCUUCCCUAUUUUUAUUGAUUUAUUGGGAACCAAUGGGAUUGGUUCAUUCUUUUGUCUCUAUAUAUUUUCGGGAAAAUUUCCAAGAGUGGCAUGCAUAAAUAUUUUUCUCAAUGGAAAAUAUGGAAAAAGCAUUAAUUUGAUUUUAAGGCUCUAUCAUUAAGUCAGUAUUUUAUUAUUUAUUUUUAUCCACUCACGCUAACGUUUUAAAUGCUUCUCCCCUGGGCCUUUUAUUUUUAAAUGCCCAGUCUGCAGAGUUCGGUUUGGUGAGUGUAGGAGGCGAGUCAUAUUUUUCACCACUUCUAGUUUUCAUUCGUAGGUUACCUGUUUAACCUACUUGUGUAUUUUCUCGUUUCCUAGUAGUUGCUCUAAUAACCAUAGGAUGUCUUAAAUGAAUUUAUGUUGAUGUGUGUUAAGAGCUUAUGACUCCAUGUAGGAGUGAUGGAAAAGAUUCAUUUAGUUUGUUUGUAUGAGAACUUAAAUUCAUGAAAUUAUUUUGAAUUAUUACUUUUGUUGAGGUGGUGGAUGUUUAUUUGAGGAGCGGGUGGCUCUAGGAGAUGUGGAUUAAAUUGUUUUAGAAGUGUUUGGGUUUUUGGUGAUUUUCUUUCAGGUAGGGUUACUCAUUUUCAAGGGAGGUUAUUUCAGGUAGGGUUACUCAUUUUCAAGGGAGGUUAUGCCAAAAUUUUGGUAGAAUUUCCCUUGAGGUGGGUCCCGCAGGGUUUAUUUCAGAUUUCAAGGGGAAAUUCGGGGUAGGUCCUGACAUGCAGCGCUCGCAUUGCACAUCUCACACAGAAGGCACAUAAAUUACAGUCUAUGAGUUGGAUAUACCUGUGAUGCAGACCACUUCUAAACACUUCCUUUCAAGCAACAACAGCUUGUACCUGAAGCAACGCAUAUAUAAAAAGCACAUAAGCAUAAGACCAUAGAGGACUAUAAGUGCACUUUAACAGUUAAGAAAAAUUAACAAUAUCAUUUCCAUAGGGUUUUUUCAUCUGAUGAAACUUCUACCCUAAGAUUGGGUAAUUAAUGUAAGUCAUAUACAGAAAAGCUGAAAACUAAAUAACUCAAUGCAACAAAGCAGGUUCUUUUUUUUCACUUCUUGUUUUUCGUUGACAGUUUUUUCUUUUCACUUUUAUGACACAUACAAAUGAGACUAUUACUAUACAACCCCUUAAAAUACAGUAAUUGAUAAUAAUUGGCCAAUAUUAUACUAAUUAGCAAGAAAAAAAGAAAACAGAUCCAAAAUUCUAAUAGUUUUUCCAAUAUAGAAUAGGUACAAAUUAUACUUACUAGCCUUUAUACCCGCGAUACUCGCGUGUUUUAGUAUAGAAGUCAUGCAAUUUACUGCAAUCUCUAACCUUCCUGCACGCGUAUGCGCGUGCUAUACGCGUGCUAAAGGCCGCGCUCAUGCGUGUGGAAGACAUGUUUACUCAUCGAUUAGUUUCAUUUUGUUAUCCAUUAAGCAUUUGUAUUGUUCUUGAUUGGCUUUUACAACGUAGAAUUGUUUUAGAAGUGUUAAGAAUGUCUUCAAGUCUUUGCUUCAAUAUGCCAGGGCCUGAGUAAUUACACUUGUAUUUUCUACUUUUCAUUUGCUUUAUCUUUGUUUUAGUACUUUGGGUGCAUGUAAGCAUCAAAACUCAGGAUUUAGACGACUAUGUACAUCAAGCUUCUAGAUUUUUAAUACAAUACAGAAGAGACAAAUGAAAUUUACAUCAUAUCUAGUGCAGUUUGUAUGAAGUGAGUAUCAUACAUCUCAAACGGUAGGAAAUACUUCCUCUUCACUAAUGAAGAAAAAAAGAGAAAAAAAAAAACACCUAAAUUGCACCGAGGAGGUAAUAUAUUUUCGGUCUUCAAGCUCUCUUCCUAUAAAGGUCAUCAAUGCACCUGACGAAUCUAGACUAAGAAAAGUAAAAUUAUAAUUACAAAGAGGUAGCAGGCAUGUUGGAAUAGCCGAACAAAGACGACUUACAAUCUUCAAUCUGCAAAAAGAACUAUCUACAAUCUUAAAAAAAAAAAAAAAAAAAAAAAAAAA